AUUGAACGCUGGCGGCAGGCUUAACACAUGCAAGUCGAGCGAGCGGCGGACGGGUGAGUAAUGUCUGGGAAACUGCCUGAUGGAGGGGGAUAACUACCGGAAACGGUAGCUAAUACCGCAUACCAUCAGAUGUGCCCAGAUGGGAUUAGCUAGUAGGUGGGGUAAUGGCUCACCUAGGCGACGAUCCCUAGCUGGUCUGUGAGGAUGACCAGCCACCCUGGAACGGAGACACGGUCCAGCCGCCUACGUGCGGCAGCGGUGGGGAAUAUUGCACAGUGGGCGCAAGCCUUAUGCAGCCAUGCCGCGUGUGUGAAGAGGGCCUUCGGGUUGUAAAGCACUUUCAGCGAGGAGGCGUUACUCGCAGAAGAAGCACCGGCUGACUCCGUGCCAGCAGCCGCGGUAAUUC
rnacentral:rRNA from 1 species